UACGGGGGGAGCAAGCGUUGUCCGGAGUUACUGGGCGUAAAGAGUGCGUAGGUGGUGCCCUAAGUCUGUUGUGAAAUCUCCCGGCUUAACUGGGAGGGUGCGGUGGAAACUGGGGUGCUUGAGUGUGGGAGAGGUAAGCGGAAUUCCUGGUGUAGCGGUGAAAUGCGUAGAUAUCAGGAGGAACACCGGUGGCGAAGGCGGCCCUCUGGACGGUGACUGACGCUGAGACGCGAAAGCGUGGGGAGCGAUCCGGAUUGA
rnacentral:rRNA from 1 species